GCGGCUUCCUGGCCUCUGGUCAGCCCCCCAAGCAAACUUCACGGCCAUUAGUCUCUCAGGGGCCCUCCAGGUUUCAAAACUCUCUCUCUCUCGUUUCUGCCCCUGUCCCUCUCUAGCGAGUAAAUUCCUUUGAACCUCUUGAGCCUGCAAAGGGAAUUUUGUUCCCAAGAGCUCAGAGCCAGGCUGACAAAAGCACCUUUGUGCCAGUUCUCUCUUGAACACUCUCCAAACCUCUUAGCCCCCCAACAAUUCCUAGCAGGGAGGAGGAGUGGGAGAGGCAGUCGGCUCCCCUACUCUUCCCUCAUCAUUUGGCCUAAUUUAGCCCACGGGCUCCUCGCAUCCCCUAAGGGGCCACUGACAGGCCCCGGUGCACCGUGGGGUCUGGGGCCAGGACUUGCUUCCAGGGUCCUGAGGCAGGUCGGCUGGAGACCGGCGAUCCCCUGAUGUUCCCCUGGUGCAUCAGAGCCCAAGGCCAGACCCCACGUGGGCCCUGUCCUGGUCUUCACACAGGACGUCAUAGCCACGGCCAAUGCUCCCCACACUGAGGGAUAUAAUGCACUGCGCAGCUCCCUCAUAAUGCUCACACUCCGUCCUUCGGCCAGCAGCCCAGACUCUCAGCCCAGAGAGAGUCAGGCUCUGACCCAGGGCUGGAAACCCUGGAAGUGACCAAAGACACAUAGAAGGGCUGCUGGGAAGCCCAGAAUCAGGGUUUCUGGAAGGAGGAGCCAAGGCCCAGCACUCACCAACAGCCUCUCCAGGGCCGAGUACAGCUUCCGGACUUUGUGGGGCAGCCGCUGCAAAGGACAGGCAGAUGGAGCGGUCAUUGCUCUGGGACGGGAGGCACAUCCCCAACAGGGACUCCUGGGAUGGGCACCCCCCAUCUCGCCAGAUCAUACCUACCUCCCAGGUGUGGGCCAGGCGGCUGAUGGCCGAGUUGCUGAGGCCAAACAUGACGGCAAAGAAAGAAUUGAGAUUCUUUUGCUCCUUGAGGCUGUGAGUGGAAGACCCAGAGGCCCUCAGGGGAAGCAGCCACACCCACGGAGUCCCCACACCCAGGCAACAGCCAGCCUGGGGCCAGGACCAGGCUGGGCCAGCACUGCCUCUGUGGGGGCUGGGGCUAGAUGGGGUGGGCACCUGGGGCUCGACUGAGCAGGGACGGGGAUGUGAGAGAAGGUGGCCUCAGGGCUCUGCCACACACCCACCGGCCCCACAGGUACUCACUGGGCAGCCAGCUUGAUGAACUUCCUGAGCAGCUGGGCCCGCAGGCCGGGUACAGGGCAGAGACACAGCUCUGUGGCCACCCAGUACUGGAGCUCGUUGAAGCGGCGCAUGAAACGCUCCAGGUUGGCGGUGGUGACGUCCCGCAGAUGCUGGGGGCCCAGCACAUAGUGGAUCAGCUCCACCUGGAUGGGGGACAGCAGGGGAGAUCAGCCCACACCGGGCGAGGUGCUCCUGCCGUCUGCGCCUCUCCCCUCCCCUCUCUGCCUCCGCACCUGGUGGAUACUGUUGAAGAGGUUCCAGUCGUGGUCCGUCAGCUGGCCCGCCAGGUCCUUGGCACUCACCAGGUCCAGCCCCUCAGCAGAGCCCACGGAGGGCCCCAGCUGCUCGGGGAGCGGGGUCUGCAGGUGGAAGAGAGCUCAGGAGGGGUGCCUGAGCAACCCAGGGGACAGGCGCAGGGAAGGAGAGAGUUGGGGGCGGAGACUCCGUGCCUGUGGUUGAAGGGGUGUCUGGGCGGGUAGGGCUGCUACCAGGAACGGAAGGGCCUCUGAGGCAUAGGGCUUCCCAAAGAGGCAUCUAGUCUCCCGCUGGCUCCCCAGUGCGGAGACCCCCUCCUUGUACGGCUCCUGUCUCCUGGGGAAGCCCCCAACAAGGGGGGGGGUCUUGUUUCUCCUUGAGAGCUCUCAACCGGCUCUCUCCCUUCCCCAGCAACUGGAACCUUCCCAUCCGCUGAGGCCCACUCCUUCCUCUUCUCCCUUACGUCCAGCAGCAGCCAGAGCCAGGCCCCCCUCUCCCCUCUCUAUGACCCUCCCCUGCACCCACCUCUGCCACCCCUAAAACACAGCUCCUCCCUGGGACCCUGCUUGUUCCUACCAGCUCGCGCACUUCCUGUGGGUUGACAACAAAGAGCCGUUCGUUGAGCCCCAGCGAUGUGGCCACACCACGGGCAUCUGGCUGCAGGCCAAUGGCGUCUGCAAAGAGAGCAGAGAGUGGGCUGGGAGGGGUCGGGGUGCAGAGAGGGAGGCCAGGGAGCCCCUGAAGGCAGGGUAGAGGCCCCAUUUGGGAGGCUGGGAGGCCCCUUCUGCCAGCAGCCCGGUUGGAGUCCUGGGCAGAUGCUCUGAAUGCACAGGGGCAGGUGCCCACACACCCGCACUGCCCAGGUCAGCACACCUGAGGAAGAUGAGACAGGGCUCUUAGCGAGACAGGCAGAGCUUGGGCAAUAUUGGAGUCUUCCUGAGCUUCCUCCUUGGUCACAUGGAGACAGCAAGACUUACCCUGACUACUCACGAGUCUAAUAAACUAAUUUAUGGAAGUAGUGGCCAUAAGUAUACGAUGCAUAGAAAAGCCCUUUGAAAACUGGAAAUGCCUUACAGAGGUCUUAGUGUUGAUUUUCACCACUUCCUACUGACCGAGACUGUGUUUUUAGUCACGUUCGAGUCCCCAGUCUGUAGGCCAGUAGCCACCAAAGCCAGAUUUACGAGACCAUCCAUGUGUCCAAAACAGUAUUACCUCAUAUUUAUUUUUCUCUUCUGUUUUGCAUUUUUACGUCGCAGGCAGCUUGAUACGAUGUUAGUAUAGGACUAUAUGCAAAUGACUUACAAGCAAAUAUACACAUAUAAGGGGGCUUGUGGUCAAAAUAUGAGUCACUGA
rnacentral:lncRNA from 1 species